rnacentral:rRNA from 1 species
GUGCCAGCCGCCGCGGUAAUACGUAGGGCGCAAGCGUUGUCCGGAUUUAUUGGGCGUAAAGAGCUCGUAGGCGGUCUGUCGCGUCGGAUGUGAAAACCCGGAACUCAACUCCGGGCCUGCAUUCGAUACGGGCAGACUUGAGUACUGCAGGGGAGACUGGAAUUCCUGGUGUAGCGGUGGAAUGCGCAGAUAUCAGGAGGAACACCGGUGGCGAAGGCGGGUCUCUGGGCAGAAACUGACGCUGAGGAGCGAAAGCGUGGGGAGCGAACAGGAUUAGAUACCCGAGUAGUCC